GCUCCAGUGGUUUAGUGGUUAGAGUGUCUGCCUCAGAUGCGGGUCGUGGGUUCGAUCCACAGUCGAGUCA